AGCUUUCUGAAUUCGUGCUGAGAUUUCGUCAGACACUAGACCAUCAAAAUUGUUAAAACUCCCAAGAUAAGUGGAACA
rfam:Schistosoma mansoni, Puerto Rico, WGS project CABG01000000 data, contig: 0094